UACGAAGGGUGCAAGCGUUAAUCGGAAUUACUGGGCGUAAAGCGUGCGCAGGCGGUUUUGUAAGCCAGAUGUGAAAUCCCCGGGCUUAACCUGGGAAUGGCAUUUGGGACUGCAAGGCUCGAGUGCGGCAGAGGAGACUGGAAUUCCUGGUGUAGCAGUGAAAUGCGUAGAUAUCAAGCGGAACACCGGUGGACGAAGGCGGCCUUCUGGACAGUGACUGACGCUGAGACGCGAAAGCGUGGGGAGCAAACAGG
rnacentral:rRNA from 1 species